rfam:Megamonas funiformis YIT 11815 genomic scaffold supercont1.1, whole genome shotgun sequence.
AACUAAGCGAUGAUAAAGAGAGUAAAUUAAGAUUUCUUUUACAGAAAAUAUUGUCUAGGCUGAGAACAAUAAAAGAAAAUUUAAUUGAAGUUCACUUUGGAGCUUCUAUGGUGAAAAUAAGUAGUCAUAGCGUCUGGCCGCGUUAAUGCUUUUAAGUAUCAAUUAGGGUGGUACCGCGAAACAAGCUUUCGCCCCUUCA